AGCAACUAAGAGCCUGGUCCAGAGCCCAUUGAAGUCAGUGGGAGAUGUUCUAAUGACUCCAGAGGGCUUUGGAUCAGGCCCUAAGUUAAUCCAC
ensembl:miRNA